AAAAACAUCUUUUCUCGUUAGUUUUUGAAGUAUGGCCUGCCCGCUGACUUGGUGUUGAAGGGCCGCGGUAUUUUGACCGUGCAAAGGUAGCAUAGUCAUUAGUUCUUUAAUUGUGAUCUGGUAUGAAUGGCUUGACGAGGCAUGGGCUGUCUUAAUUUUGAAUUGUUUAUUGAAUUUGGUCUUUGAGUUAAAAUUCUUAGAUGUUUUUAUGGGACGAGAAGACCCUAUAGAGUUUAACAUUUAUUAUGGUCCUUUUCUGUUUGUGAGGGUUCACUGGGCUAUCUAAUAUGUUUUGUUGGGGUGAUAGGAGGGAUUAAUUUAACCCCUCCUUUUUGUUGUUAUAUUUAUUUAUAUUUACUUGAUCCAUUUAUUUUGAUUGUAAGAUUAAAUUACCUUAGGGAUAACAGCGUAA
rnacentral:rRNA from 1 species